AUCCACUAAUAGACCUCAGACAGUUUGCUGGGGGGUUUUUUUGUUGUUUGUUUGUUUGUUUUGUUUGCUCUGGGGAUGCAAAGGAGGGAAAUCCCUGCACUUCCUGUCUGUCUUUUUGGCAGCCCGGAUUGAACUGGGGACUACAUCU
rnacentral:snoRNA from 10 species